rnacentral:rRNA from 1 species
GACGAACGCUGGCGGCGUGCUUAACACAUGCAAGUCGAACGGAAAGGCCCUGCUUGCAGGGUACUCGAGUGGCGAACGGGUGAGUAACACGUGGGUGAUCUGCCCUGCACUUCGGGAUAAGCUUGGGAAACUGGGUCUAAUACCGGAUAGGAACCAUCUUUAGUGUGGUGGUUGGAAAGUUUUUUCGGUGUAGGAUGAGCUCGCGGCCUAUCAGCUUGUUGGUGGGGUAAUGGCCUACCAAGGCGGCGACGGGUAGCCGGCCUGAGAGGGUGUACGGCCACAGUGGGACUGAGAUACGGCCCAGACUCCUACGGGAGGCAGCAGUGGGGAAUAUUGCACAAUGGGCGCAAGCCUGAUGCAGCGACGCCGCGUGGGGGAUGAAGGCCUUCGGGUUGUAAACUCCUUUCGCUAGGGACGAAGCUUUUUGUGACGGUACCUAGAUAAGAAGCACCGGCUAACUACGUG